GUUUCAUCAUGUUAGCCAGGAUGGUCUCCAUCUCCUGACAUUGUGAUCCGCCCGCCUUGGCCUCCCAAAGUCCUGGGAUUACAGGUGUGAGCCACCGCGUCUCACCAAAGGGGUUUUUCUUUCUCUGGUGUUUGAGAUGAAAACAAGCUGUGACCUGAAACUAUAGACACUUCUCAAGGAUGAUGUUAUCAACACAGACAGGAGAAUUCUGUUAUCCCCAAAUAUGAGGGGGUUUCUCCCCAUCAGCAAGCAGCCCAUCAGUUCUGCAGUGGACACCAGCUGGUUGCCCUCCGAUUCAAUUCUGACAUCGUCUACUGGAAGAUAGUGUCAGAUCCCACAGGUCUGACUCUACAGAGACCACAGAUUCUUUGAGUUGCAAGGAAUGAAGAGGUCACUCAACCUAGUUCAAGCGAUGAGGUUUAUGGUGAAGAAAUUGCAAAGCAGUGAGAGUGAUGGAAACUUCUGGAAAACAGGAUUGUGGAGUAGCCAGGCCUGGAAGAGACUGGAACCAGGUAUCAUCCUGAGUCCAGGGCAGCUCAAGGCACCUCAGGGGCAGAGCAUUUUCCCCACUGAAGACAGGACCCUUGCUAGUUUCUAAUUCAGGCCUCAAGAGCAAGAAGCUGACCCGCCCCUCCUGGCAGGCAAAGCACAUCACCCAGGCGCCCCAGGGCCCUGCCAGCCUGCAACCAAGCUUCUUAGUCAGGCUAGGUGUGCCCCAGCUUUCUAAACACCUGGGGCCAGGAAGGGGCAGGAUGGGCCUCAUGGUACAACCUCGCUGCCAGGACAGCAGGUGCUGCCUCCUGGGAAGGGCCUUUUAAAGAUAUGGUGGGUGUGGUAUUUGCCUCCUCUGUGAAAUCCACGGCUGGCUGAGCUCCAAGCUUUGUAGUCCUUGGAGAGUUAAUCUUGGUGGCUCUCUCUUAUGCAAAAAAAAACUUCAGAGAAGUAUUGGGAGACUUCCUAUUUGGAAAUUUCUAGUCUGUACUGCUAAAGGGAGUAGGGGUAGGGGAGUCAUUUUUCAGUUUUUUUUCUUUUUCUUUUUUUUUUUUUUUUAGGCAGGGUCUUGCCUUGUUGCCCAGGCUGGAGUGCAGUGAUGCAAUCACGGCUCACUGCAGCUCGACCUCGCAGGCUCAAGCGAUCCUCCUGAAUAGCUGGGACCACAGGUGUGCAUCACCACACCUGGCUAAUUAUUUUGUAGUUUUUGUAGAGAUGGGGUCUCACCUUAUUGCCCAGGCUGAUCUCAAACUCCUGGGCUCAAGUGAUGCUCCCUCCUUUGCCUCCCAAAGUGCUGGGAUUACCCAUGAGCCACAGCACCUGGCCCAUUUUUCAGUUUUUAAAGGUCUGGUGGUUUUCCGAAACCUUCACUUGGGAUUUGGCAUGUUAAUUACGACUAAACCCCUGAUCCUUCCCCACACCUCCUGGGGGAUGAUUAGGUCAGGGCCAGGCCAUCCCCGCUCCUCCUGGAGGCUGCAGGAGGCACUCCACACAUCUCCCCACGGGCAGCAUCUGCUCACUCCCUCUGCUCAUGUUUAUUGAGCACUCGAUGUGCUAGGUACAGUUCUCAGACCUGGGGGUACAAUACUGAACCCAAAAGACAACCGUCUCUGUCCUCAUAGAGCUUAUGUUCUAAUGAGGAGAGACAAUUCAUAAAUAUAACAAAUGUGUGAAUUAUAGCUUCCGUUAGAAGGUGAUAAGUGCUUCAGGAAAAGAAAAUAUGUCAGAGUAAGUGGGGUAGGAAGUGCGGGUGAGGAGAGGAGGUAGACAGAUGAAAUGUUUGAUAGCACAGGGAGGGUAAGUCAUUGAGAAGCUGUUAUUUGAGCCAAGCCUCGAUGGAGGUGCGGGAAGCUUUGAGAAUUUUGUAAUAUCCCCCAGCACAAGACACUAGAGGCACCUUGGAGUCUUGUGAAAGCAACACUGAAAACUCUGGGAAUAAACAGCAGAGAAGUAAGGGUGUGACAAGUCAGGAAUAUUCCAUGGCUAUGCACCAAGAAUGGCCCUGCACAAAUAUUUAGGAGGAGUGGCAGUGAGAGGAUUUGAGGGUCAAAAGUGUUAAAGUAGAAAUAUGAGAAAUUACAACAAAGUCCAGGUUCACUUCAGUGUAUUAUUAUUUUCAUUUUUUUGUAAAAUAUUUUGAAAAAUUUCAAAAUAAAGUUGCUAAAAGACUUUGUCGUGAUAAUGACGUUGCAGUUAUGUAGGAGAAUGGCCUUAUUCUUUUUUGUUUUGUUUUGUUUUUGAGACUGAGUCUUGCUGCGUCACCCAGGCUGGAGUGCGGUGGCACAGUCAUGGCUCACUGAAGCCUUGACCUCCCAGACUCAAGUGAACCUCCCGCCUUAGCUUCCUGAGUAGCUGGGUGUACAGGCAAGUGCCAUCAUACCCAGCUAAUUUUAAGAUUUUUUGUAGAGAUGGGGUCUCGCCUUGUUGUCCAGGCUCCUUGAACUCCUGGACACAAGUGAACCUCCCGCCUCAGCCUCCUAAAGUGUUGGGAUUAUAGGCGUGAGCCACCAUGCCCGGCCACUUUAUUCUUCAGGGAUGAAAUAUUUAGGGAUAAUAUGUCAUGAUGUCUGCAACUCUUUUUUGUUUGUUUUGUUUUGAGACUGAGUCUCACUCUGUUGCCCAGGCUGGAGUGCAGUGGCGUAAUCUCGGCUCACUGCAAGCUCCGCCUCCUGGGUUCAU
rnacentral:lncRNA from 10 species